rnacentral:rRNA from 1 species
UACAGAGGGUGCAAACGUUGCUCGGAAUCAUUGGGCGUAAAGCGCACGUAGGCGGCGCGUUAAGUCGGAUGUGAAAGCCCCGGGCUCAACCCGGGAAGUGCACUACGAAACUGGCGCGCUUGAAUAUGGAAGAGGGUCGCGGAAUUCCUGGUGUAGCGGUGGAAUGCGCAGAUAUCGGGAGGAACACCAGUGGCGAAGGCGGCUCUCUGGGCCCUACCUGACGCUGAGACGCGAAAGCGUGGGGAGCGAACCGG